rnacentral:rRNA from 1 species
GGAUGAACGCUGGCGGCGUGCUUAACACAUGCAAGUCGAACGAACCUUCGGGUUAGUGGCGGACGGGUGAGUAACGCGUGAGAAUCUGCCCUCAGGAGGGGGAUAACGGCUGGAAACGGCCGCUAAUACCCCAUAUGCCGAGAGGUGAAACGAGUUUUCGCCUGAGGAUGAGCUCGCGUCUGAUUAGCUAGUUGGUGAGGUAAGGGCUCACCAAGGCAUCGAUCAGUAGCUGGUCUGAGAGGAUGAUCAGCCACACUGGGACUGAGACACGGCCCAGACUCCUACGGGAGGCAGCAGUGGGGAAUUUUCCGCAAUGGGCGAAAGCCUGACGGAGCAACGCCGCGUGAGGGAUGAAGGCCUCUGGGCUGUAAACCUCUUUUCUCAAGGAAGAAGAUCUGACGGUACUUGAGGAAUAAGCCACGGCUAAUUCCGUGCCAGCAGCCGCGGUAAUACGGGAGUGGCAAGCGUUAUCCGGAAUUAUUGGGCGUAAAGCGUCCGCAGGCGGCCUUUUAAGUCUGUUGUCAAAGCGUGGAGCUUAACUCCAUUUCGGCAAUGGAAACUGGGAGGCUUGAGUGUGGUAGGGGCAGAGGGGAAUUCCCGGUGUAGCGGUGAAAUGCGUAGAUAUCGGGAAGAACACCAGUGGCGAAGGCGCUCUGCUGGGCCCAUAACUGACGCUCAUGGACGAAAGCCAGGGGAGCGAAAGGGAUUAGAUACCCCUGUAGUCCUGGCCGUAAACGAUGAACACUAGGUGUCGGGGGAAUCGACCCCCUCGGUGUCGUAGCCAACGCGUUAAGUGUUCCGCCUGGGGAGUACGCACGCAAGUGUGAAACUCAAAGGAAUUGACGGGGGCCCGCACAAGCGGUGGAGUAUGUGGUUUAAUUCGAUGCAACGCGAAGAACCUUACCAGGGUUUGACAUCCUGCGAAUCCCUUGGAAACGAGGGAGUGCCUUCGGGAGCGCAGAGACAGGUGGUGCAUGGCUGUCGUCAGCUCGUGUCGUGAGAUGUUGGGUUAAGUCCCGCAACGAGCGCAACCCACGUCUUUAGUUGCCAGCAUUCAGUUGGGCACUCUAGAGAGACCGCCGGUGAUAAACCGGAGGAAGGUGUGGAUGACGUCAAGUCAUCAUGCCCCUUACAUCCUGGGCUACACACGUACUACAAUGCUACGGACAAAGGGCAGCAAACUCGCGAGAGCUAGCAAAUCCCAUAAACCGUGGCUCAGUUCAGAUCGUAGGCUGCAACUCGCCUACGUGAAGGAGGAAUCGCUAGUAAUCGCAGGUCAGCAUACUGCGGUGAAUACGUUCCCGGGCCUUGUACACACCGCCCGUCACACCAUGGAAGUUGGCCACGCCCGAAGCCGUUACUCCAACCCUUGUGGAGGAGGACGUCGAAGGUGGGGCUGAUGACUGGGGU